AUUAAAGUAAUCAAAAGAUGACAGGUUUUUAACCUGGGUAUGAGUUUUCUCCUUAAUA
rnacentral:tRNA from 1 species